rnacentral:tRNA from 1 species
GCCUGGGUGGCUCAGUCGGUUAAGCGUCUGACUUUGACUCAGGUCAUGAUCUCACCGGUUUGUGGGCUCAAGCCCCAUGCUGGGCU